UGCCAUAUGGCCUAGUGGUUAGCACGUUCGACUAACACCUCUAGAGACGGGGGUUUGAUUCCGACUGUGGCCC